UUCUCUGUAAAAAUUCAUUUCUGACGUCCCUUCCCUCUCGAACACGUGUAUGUCACCAUCUUUCCCCUUCUCCUUUUCUCCCUCUGCUCAGGCUUGCACCAAAUUGCUACCUUCUCUCUCCUGACCAUCUCUCUCCUGCCCAUGUCCUGCUGCUGUUUUUUUGCCCUUUCAACCCCACUACCGUCUGUCUGCCCGUGCUCCCUCUCGUCUGUCGUGUUUUAUCUGCUCAUCCCGUGCCACCAAUCUCUCUCCCUCCCUCCCUCCCUCCCUCGUUUGCAAUGUUCCGGGGACCUUUCAGAUCUCUCUCUCUCUCUCUCACACACACACACACACACACACACACAGAGAAAGAGAACCAUUUCGGGGAAAGUGAUCUGGUUCAAUUAUUUUUGUUCAUGGUCCUCUGGUACUGGUUUUAGGUUCUUCAGAUUUCAAGUCUCUUCGUGGUAGCUGAUUUAUAUUGCGUACUUGUUUGAGUUAACCACUUUUACACAUUGAGUGUUUCGUCUUGACUAGUUCCUCUUGGUUUCCUAUUCGAUGGAGCUCGCUGUCUGUGUGUUUUGUAUAUUUCUCUCGAAGCUCCGUGAACAUGUUUAGUUUGUUUGACAGCCUUUCCUUACUGGUUGAAUAUGGCUACGGAAACUUGGGUGCAUAUUCAUGGUAGCUUUCAGAUCCGCAGUUUCUUUCUUCAUUCGGAAUAGAUCUAAUCCACCACGUACCAUUUUGGUACCUUUCAAAUCGACAGUUUCUUAUCUCGUCCAAGAUAGAUUCUAUCUACCAAUUUUUUUCAAUUCCUUGCUUUUUAACCCAUGGUAGCUUUCAAAUCUACAGUUUCUUUCUUCCAUAGUAGAUUUAAACAUCCACCAUGUUUCUAAAUCUUUACCUUUUGGUCCUGUUAACAUUCAAUUUCACCGUUUCAUUCUUCAUCCAAAAUAGAUUUAGUCCACCACCAUUUUUUCAAAUCUUCAUAUUUUUCUAUCAUGGGCAUCGUCCUUCUUAGACUUCUAUUAGACUGCGGUCCCAAUCCAUACUUGUCCGCACUUGUGUUGUUCUUGUUUUGUCGUCAAUGUUUAGAUGUCAAUAUUGUGCUUCAUUUCCACUAUUUUGGUCUCACCUUUUAUAUUUAAUCUUCAGUCCCACAUCCAAAUUCAUGAAGUUCAUCCGGCGACUCUUUCUUUCCUUUGUAUGUUGUAUUCCUGAAUCUUGAGAAAGUUUUUGCGUCAUUAUCUCUUAACUAUUUAUUAUAUAUUUCAAGGAGUCAAUGUAAUGUGAAUCCUUGUGAUUUCUUAUUGGUUUUCCAGGGUUGAUGAGUGGAGCUCCUUUAGAUUCAAAACAGGUUCCUGCUGAACAUAUAGAGCUGCUGAGUUAUGGAUACCACUGUCCUAUCCUUUGGCGAGAAGGCCCGGAUAGGCUUGUGGUUUGCAUGACACGGGAGCUGCAUUGUUCAUGCUUCAACCUCAUUUGGAUUGAAGGGAGCUCUGCUCUUAAAUCUUCUCUCUACGGCCACCAUCUGUUCUCGACCACGGUCUUGAUCUUUUAGGUUUCCGCUGUGAUCAACGCGGUCGUGAGUUUGAUCGCGAACGCCUAUUCUUUGAAGGUUUUGAGCCUUUCUCCGAAGAGGACAGUAGUUGCUCUAAUUCAAGAUACAACAGUACUGAUUGGAUGCAUUUCACUGAUCGUUGCCAGCAGCCAGAAGAUGGAUUCAGAUCACGCCAGUAUCAAAACAUAUUUUUUGGUGCAUUGUACAGAACUUUGGUGGUGAUUUGUAUCUUAGGUCUCAAUCUGCAGAGGAUUGAAUAUCUAAUGCGGAAAGUCCUGGUUUAUCGCUGUUUCUUCAGUACUGAUUUCUGCCUUUGAUCUCGCCCUCUUGUAUACCAUUGAAAUUGUGUAUUCCAUGAGCUGCAUCUGUCUCACGUAGUCUAUAUAUUAAUGGUGCGGAGAUGAUUAUAUUGAGGUUGGAGGAAUUGUUACGUUAGGAGGUGUAGUUAGAAUUGAUGGUGUGAGCUUGUUGCAACAGAAGUUCCUGGUUGUGAAGAAGCACGUGUGUCGCUUGUAGUAAUCAAAUUGGAAUUCUCAGUGUACGUA